UCCCACUCGCCCCGCCCGUGGUUCCCCUGGGCCUGGGUCCGCCCGCGACGGCCCCCAAGCUCCCACUGGGGCCUGGAGGACAGAGUUUACCGGAGAGACCCCCUUGUUGGAGAUCUCCCGCUGAAGGACGCGGCCGCGUCGCUGAAUUUGCCCGGAAGGGGGAGUAGGAGUUCUCCUGCCUGUCACUCUCAGUCAAGCCUCGUGAAUUUCUCUCGUUCCCUUCUACACGCGCCCUCCGCAGUCUCUUCAAAUUGUCAUCCCACCCUGACAGCUGCACUGCAUCAGUGGUGACAGGUCCAGGAACGCAGGCAGUGAAAAGAAGAGAUUGGACCUGGAAAAGAAACUUUAUGAACAUAAUCAAUCUGAUAUAUGCAGCAGGUAGUGAUCUCAGCUGGUCUUGAACCGCAAACUGGCUCCUGGCUGCAGCGCCAGCCUCAGUUCAGAUCUUCUGUUGUUAGCGAGUGGCUUGCGCAUGCGUGGUUCAGUCCGUCAGAAAGGUUAAGGAGAUGUAACCACCAGCCAUCCUGAAACUGACCAAAUGAGGCACUCAAGGGAGA